GACGAACGCUGGCGGCGUGCUUAACACAUGCAAGUCGAACGGUGAAGCGCCUUCCUUUUUGGUGGGUGUGGAUGAGUGGCGAACGGGUGAGUAACACGUGAGUAACCUGCCCCCUUCUUCUGGAUAACCGCAUGAAAGUGUGGCUAAUACGGGAUAUUCUGGGUCUGUCGCAUGAUGGGUCUGGGAAGGAUAUUGUUUCGGUGGGGGAUGGGCUCGCGGCCUAUCAGCUUGUUGGUGGGGUGAUGGCCUACCAAGGCGGUGACGGGUAGCCGGCCUGAGAGGGUGGACGGUCACACUGGGACUGAGACACGGCCCAGACUCCUACGGGAGGCAGCAGUGGGGAAUAUUGCACAAUGGGCGCAAGCCUGAUGCAGCGACGCCGCGUGAGGGAUGGAGGCCUUCGGGUUGCGAACCUCUUUCGCCAGUGAAGCAGGCCUGCCUCGUUUGUGGGUGGGUUGACGGUAGCUGGAUAAGAAGCGCCGGCUAACUACGUG
rnacentral:rRNA from 1 species